AGUGCCGUGGUUCGAAAUCCUCCCACGCAGUACCGUUAAGUACUAAAACAAAACUAAGGAAAA
rnacentral:ncRNA from 1 species